GAUUUAUAUUCAAUAAUUCACAGAGCGUGAACACCCGUAUGGAAUGUACAAAUUAUCGACUUUUUGAUUGAAGUUCCGCUUGAAUAUUCAGGUAGUUGUAUCCCUCGAAAUCUGCAGUUAUCUUGAUAUCUAUCCCGGCAUAGACCGUUCAACAUUGCACUGUUUAAUUAGCACUAAGCAGUCAUAGUGGGUUUGUUUGGGGUUGACAGAGGUACACACCCUUGGCCCAAAGGGGAGCGUAAAAAUCGAGGAGGGGAGGGGGGGCGCUAAAAACUGAAUUUAUCAUACCUCUGAGUAUUUGAGAUAUUGCAUAUAAUUAGUACUACAAAUAUAUUUUCAUGUGGUAUGUGUAAUUGAGUUUAAUACCCCAAGUAUCUAGCCCAGUGCCAGGUUCAGAGUCCUCACCUGUCUAGCAUGCCCCUAAAACAACUUGGCUGAAUCUACCACUACCAAAAAGAUACGAUUAUAAUUCAACAAUAUACAAU
rnacentral:lncRNA from 1 species